AUAGACUUGUAGGAAAUGCUCAUGAAAUGGAAGUGAAAAGCAAUUUAAAAAAUAUUACGAUAAUAAAUUAUGAAUAAAAUUGUUAAAUGAGAUUUUUUUAAUUGAAUUGGAAAGUUAUUUGUUAAGUAUCUCUUCAAUUCAUAUGAUUAACAUUUGUUUAUUUGAUGAUGAAACUUUAUUUAGUUAUAUAUUUAACUUUUUUUAUAUAAGUGACUGCGUUCGUUCAAUUUUUCAGCGUGGGUUCCACCAUCCGGUUUAGAAUUGAUGCCCCGCGCAUUGAGCUUUGGAUGACAUAUCACGUAUGAUACUUGAACAGGAGCAGUGUCCAGGAAACCGGAAGUGUCACACCUUGCAACCCGGAGUGAUACCUCUUGCAUCCUGAACGAUACUCCAUCAGUGGCAUUUGCAAUGCCCGAAGGCCGCACAUACCUGUCUUGUGGCCAUGGGUGACAACUUAGUGAUGACACAAUGGGUAACACCUCACUGAUAACACAAUCGCUUGAUUGCUAAACUGGACCAUGCCUUUUCACAGAAAACACAAUGGAAAAUGAAAUAUUCAAUACAUUGACACUCUAUUUUUGGGCCUUGUGUUGAUCGAUAAGAUUUUAACAUGUAUGUGACAACCUUAUACUGAUGGGACAUUAUAAUGGUUAUGUUACAUUCUUAUACUGAAGUGACUUUCAUAUGUUGAUUUGACAUUCUUAUGUUGAUGUGACAUUCUAAUGUUUUAUGAAUUUUUAUAUUGUUGUGACAUUUCAAUAUUUAUGUGAAAUUAGUAUAUUGAUGUGAUAUGUGUUUAUACAAACAUUCAUGUCCGGAUGGAUUCCGUAGUUCCUAUAUUCUGAGGAAUGAAUUAGGGGUUAUCUGUUUUAGUUAAGCCCUACGUGCAUCGCUACGGUAACACGUUUCAUCCACCGGGUGUUUUUCGUGGGCGGCUGUCAUUCCUAUGAAGGAUAUAUGAUCAAAUCUGUAUCACCGUUAGAAGAAAUAAGACUCUUUGAAACUUUGCAAUUAUUUAUUAUUGACAAAUGGUAAUAUACAGGUUUGAUCAGGGCAUGUGUCGGAGGGGCCGGCAACAUUUAGAUAGAAUGGAACAGUAUAUUCGAGCUUUUCAGUGUUGUUAAAAUAUUUAUGUAGAUCAUUUGCUUUAACAGAAAAUUGUUUGUAUGCG